CCAGGGUCCCCAGGGCGGGUGACCCCACACCUUGGGAUCAUGGUCUCCUGGGGUGACCCUAACCCCAGGGGUGGCCCCAGUCCCGUGGGGUCACCCUGAUCCCAGGACAGGUGACCUCAGGGACAACCCCACACCUGUGGGGGGGCCACAUUCCCCAUGGAGUGACCCUGAUCCCAGGUGACCUCAGGGACAAUCCCACACCUGUGAGGGACCACAGUCCUGUGGAGUGACCCUGAUCCCAGGACAGGUGACCUCAGGGAAGGGGAUCACACCUGAGGGGCCACAUUCCCCUGGAGUCACCCUGACCCCAGGAAAGGUGACCCUAGGGACAGUCCCACACCUGGGGAGGGUCACAGUCUCCUGAAGUGACCCUGAUCCCAAGACAGGUGACCCCAGGGGAGUGGGUCACACCU